CUCUUCUGUCUCCCUUCAUAUUGAACUCAUCUUUCGCCUUUUACUAAAAAAUGACCGUAGAGGAGGAUACACUGCGAGUCUAACGACCAAUUUUUGAUGAGCCCUGCGCGAGCGGGGCC